AAACUUUCAACAAUGGAUCUCUUGGUUCUCGCAUCGAUGAAGAACGCAGCGAAAUGCGAUAAGUAAUAUGAAUUGCA
rnacentral:rRNA from 1 species